GCCCCGUCCCGGAGCCUCUCUCGGCGCUGGGCGAGCCCCGGCCCGGGGCCGCUCCCGGCGGGACCGUGGCGGGGGGACGGGGGCCGAGCGCUGCUGGGCCCUGCCGGGGAGAGGCGGCAGCGGUGUUUUCCGUUGCCGCCGAUGUCCCGGGAGCCCGAGCGGCUGCCUGUCGGGCCCGUCCUGGGGUGGCCCCACAGCACACCGGGCCUGGGAGCUGCCACUGACCGUGCCGUGGGUCCAAGCACGGGCUGGUCCCGGCUCUGCCUUCAGCAUUUCCUGCCCUUCGUGUCUUUGAACUUAGGGAAUUUCAAACAGCGACUUUUUCCUGCCAGCAAUAAGGUGCAGCUCAUCUCACGGCUGCCAAUCGGGGAAGGUCCUGCCUCGGAUGGAAAUGGCUAAAAAGAGGAAACUUUAAAAUGCCCAAACCGGAUGCUGCCACGUGAGUCAAAGCAGGGAAGGCCUCGGGAUUGGGAAGGUUUGUUUUAUUGUCACUUUUUUGUGCAUUUAUUGUGCUCCUGCACGAGGUGCCCGUCCUGUCUGGCCGCCGCAGCGCUCGAAACCUCUGCUGCCGGCCAGUGGCACCCUUGUUCCCUUGAGGCACCCCACAGGGCUGCCAGGACAUUGCCAGAAUUGGAUCUUUGGGACCAAUCCCUCACAGCAUUAAAGGGCUUUUUACAGGAGAGCAGCAAUUGCACAUGAAACUUCGAUGGCCACUGAAAAAUGAGAGAGACCUGUGAUAAAAACCCUUUUUUAAAGAAUAAGAUCAACAACUUCUCUACAUCAGUUGAGCAGCUUCAAUUUCCAGUCUAUCCAUGUGACACAGCAUCUAAUUCCAUUUCCUGAUUUGAUCUUGGCAAAAGGAAGAGUCACCUGCCCUCAGCGUAAAUAUUUCAUACAUAAAACACUGUCAGGAAACCCACUUUUAAUAAAUAUCUGUAGUUCUCACUCCUAUACACAAGUACUUUACAGCGACGUGCCGGGGAGAGCGCGGCCGGCUGGGCUGGACCGAUGCGGGGAUGGACAUAAAUUAAUUAUUGCAGUCGGAUGCACCGUGGGCGGGGAGGUCUGGAGUUGAUCCACGCUGGAAAUAUAAAUAUCUCUCACACCUUGAAAUCCAGGCUUCCCAUGGGGAAAAAAUCCUCUGUUUGGAGCGUUUUGGGCGCCUGCUGUGUCUCUGGGAUGCUGGUCCGGAACGGACACAGGGAGCAGCUGGGAACCAGAACCUGCCUGGGCUGGGACCAGGACAGCACUUGCAGUGCCUGCAGGGUCUCCACAAGGCGUCACUGGGGUUGAUGACACCCAAAACACCCCCAACCCUUUCCUAGUGCCAGCAAUGAAAUUCCUAUGCAAAUGGAAAUCCACUUUUUAUGCUAAUGCUGCUUUAACAUCAGCCCUUGGAAUGCUCAUAGCGCAGAACUUGAUGGCCAGCACCUGGCAGUGGAACAAUACAGGGGACAACCUGUGCCCUGCACCGCCCUGCCCGGGGCAUGCAGGGUGCUCCGCAGUGUCCAGAGGUCGGAGUCACACAGAGUGCCAAACAGCCUCUUUCCAUGGCUGUCCUGCACAAGGCUUCCCACUCAUCGUUCC